rnacentral:rRNA from 1 species
AUUGAACGCUGGCGGCAGGCCUAACACAUGCCAGUCGAACGGUAACAGGAAGCAGCUUGCUGCUUCGCUGACGAGUGGCGGACGGGUGAGUAAUGUCUGGGAAGCUGCCUGAUGGAGGGGGAUAACUACUGGAAACGGUAGCUAAUACCGCAUAAUGUCGCAAGACCAAAGAGGGGGACCUUCGGGCCUCUUGCCAUCGGAUGUGCCCAGAUGGGAUUAGCUUGUUGGUGGGGUAACGGCUCACCAAGGCGACGAUCCCUAGCUGGUCUGAGAGGAUGACCAGCCACACUGGGACUGAGACACGGUCCAGACUCCUACGGGAGGCAGCAGUGGGGAAUAUUGCACAAUGGGCGCAAGCCUGAUGCAGCCAUGCCGCGUGUAUGAAGAAGGCCUUCGGGUUGUAAAGUACUUUCAGCGGGGAGGAAGGGAGUAAAGUUAAUACCUUUGCUCAUUGACGUUACCCGCAGAAGAAGCGCCGGCUAACUCCGUG